rnacentral:lncRNA from 1 species
GUGCAGGCCUCUCUAGACCACCUUCCCAGGCAAAGUUAGUAAUCACUUAUUUUAUUCAGCCAUCUCCCUUGAAGAGGUAGAGGGGUAAGGAAAAGGUGAUUCCUAGCCCCUGAUUUUUGAGUAGUGAACAUGAUGCUGGUCCUGGAUCUCAUUGGGCAAUAUAUUUCUUUCUUAUUGUCAGGACUUGAACUCCCAGUUGCCCUUGGCUGGAUCCAAAGUCCAGAUACAGCUUUAACCCUGAUCAUGUUCUCCAUUCAUAUUCCAUUCCUGUGAAUAUUUUUUAGGGAUAUUUCUUCUUUGUUAAGUGUGGCUUUUUCGUUUUUUUCUAAUAUUGUGUCUAUCAUUGCUCUAUAUUGGAAGCUCCUAGACUAUCAAUGCUGUUUCACUUGUGUAUCUAUUUUGCUAUAACCAUUAAUUAUUGUAGCUUACAUUGUGUAUUCUGGGACUGCUCUAAUGAUUUUCUCUAAUCACUUUCUCAAAGCUGGAUCAGGCAGGAGAAAGCUCUAUAGAAGUUACUGAAGUUGAGAACUGAAGAAGUGGUAUAAUGCUCCCUUCCACCGCCCACCACAGGUCAUGUGAGAGGAGCCCUGGGGUGGCAGCACUAGGAGGGGAUUCUGCUUCGAAGCUUCAUGCCAAUCUAUCAUCAUGAACUCUCAAGCCAAGGUAGAUCCAGCACCUGGAAGUGACCUGGUUUUUGGACGAAUGUCUAGAAGUUAUAUGUGUGAUAGACUCCUCUCCCUCAGAAAACAAUGGUGCACUGGAAAACCAGCAUGCAUCCAAGGCAAUGUGUAGUUAUGUUUCUAGAGUAAACUGUCCAAUGUCCACUUUGAUCCUGUCAACAGUUGCUUCUAGAUGAAGGCGGGGCACAUGCAUGGUCCCAGCUGACUCCCUUCUGCUGAACUAGGUUAUUUCCCAGUGGCACAGGCAAGGUACUAUAGACAGGAACUGCAUAUGAAGCAGGAUCUCCUUUAAAAUACACAGUAGUCAUCUUUUAUCCAUUGGGGAAGACAUUCCAGGAUCCAGUGGACCUCUGAAGGGUAACAAAUGCUCUAUAUAUUUGUGUUUUGUAUACUGUACAUAUAUACCUGUUAUGAAAUUUAUUAGUUAAGCACAAUAAAAAAUAAUAAAACAAUUUUAACAACAUACUGUAAUAAAAG